AUGAAACUGUUGGGUCUUCUCCUUUGCCUCGUGAUGGCUCCCCAAGGUGUCCUGUCCCAGGUGCAGCUGCAGGAGUCGGGGCCAGGACUGGUGAAGCCCUCGCAGACCCUCUCCCUCACCUGUGCUGUCACUGGUGACUCUAUCAGCAGUGGUUAUGGUUGGAGCUGGAUCCGCCAGCCCCCAGGGAAGGGGCUGGAAUGGCUGGGAGCUGGUUGCUAUUAUAGCUCAUCAUGGAAUACAAACUACAGCCCCUCCUUCAAGGGCCGCAUCUCCAUCACUGCUGACACCUCCAAGAACCAGUUCUCUCUGCAGCUGAGCUCCGUGACCACCCAGGACACGGCCGUGUAUUACUGUGCAAGAGACACAAGACGGACCCCCUCACCCAGCAGCCGAGGUUCCAGGCACCACACCUAUGGGUGUCCUCAAGUCGUCUGA